GCCUGGGUGGCUCAGUCGGUUAAGCGUCUGACUCUUGGUUUCAGCUCAGGUCACAAUCUCACGAUUCGUGGGUUUGAGCCCCACAUCAGGCU
rnacentral:tRNA from 1 species